rnacentral:rRNA from 1 species
GGUUAAGCGACUAAGCGUACACGGUGGAUGCCCUGGCAGUCAGAGGCGAUGAAGGACGUGCUAAUCUGCGAUAAGCGUCGGUAAGGUGAUAUGAACCGUUAUAACCGGCGAUUUCCGAAUGGGGAAACCCAGUGUGAUUCGUCACACUAUCAUUAACUGAAUCCAUAGGUUAAUGAGGCGAACCGGGGAACUGAAACAUCUAAGUACCCCGAGGAAAAGAAAUCAACCGAGAUUCCCCCAGUAGCGGCGAGCGAACGGGGAGGAGCCCAGAGCCUGAAUCAGUGUGUGUGUUAGUGGAAGCGUCUGGAAAGGCGCGCGAUACAGGGUGACAGCCCCGUACACAAAAAUGCACAUGCUGUGAGCUCGAUGAGUAGGGCGGGACACGUGGUAUCCUGUCUGAAUAUGGGGGACCAUCCUCCAAGGCUAAAUACUCCUGACUGACCGAUAGUGAACCAGUACCGUGAGGGAAAGGCGAAAAGAACCCCGGCGAGGGGAGUGAAAAAGAACCUGAAACCGUGUACGUACAAGCAGUGGGAGCCUCUUUAUGGGGUGACUGCGUACCUUUUGUAUAAUGGGUCAGCGACUUAUAUUCUGUAGCAAGGUUAACCGAAUAGGGGAGCCGAAGGGAAACCGAGUCUUAACUGGGCGUUAAGUUGCAGGGUAUAGACCCGAAACCCGGUGAUCUAGCCAUGGGCAGGUUGAAGGUUGGGUAACACUAACUGGAGGACCGAACCGACUAAUGUUGAAAAAUUAGCGGAUGACUUGUGGCUGGGGGUGAAAGGCCAAUCAAACCGGGAGAUAGCUGGUUCUCCCCGAAAGCUAUUUAGGUAGCGCCUCGUGAAUUCAUCUCCGGGGUAGAGCACUGUUUCGGCAAGGGGGUCAUCCCGACUUACCAACCCGAUGCAAACUGCGAAUACCGGAGAAUGUUAUCACGGGAGACACACGGCGGGUGCUAACGUCCGUCGUGAAGAGGGAAACAACCCAGACCGCCAGCUAAGGUCCCAAAGUCAUGGUUAAGUGGGAAACGAUGUGGGAAGGCCCAGACAGCCAGGAUGUUGGCUUAGAAGCAGCCAUCAUUUAAAGAAAGCGUAAUAGCUCACUGGUCGAGUCGGCCUGCGCGGAAGAUGUAACGGGGCUAAACCAUGCACCGAAGCUGCGGCAGCGACACUAUGUGUUGUUGGGUAGGGGAGCGUUCUGUAAGCCUGUGAAGGUGUGCUGUGAGGCAUGCUGGAGGUAUCAGAAGUGCGAAUGCUGACAUAAGUAACGAUAAAGCGGGUGAAAAGCCCGCUCGCCGGAAGACCAAGGGUUCCUGUCCAACGUUAAUCGGGGCAGGGUGAGUCGACCCCUAAGGCGAGGCCGAAAGGCGUAGUCGAUGGGAAACAGGUUAAUAUUCCUGUACUUGGUGUUACUGCGAAGGGGGACGGAGAAGGCUAUGUUGGCCGGGCGACGGUUGUCCCGGUUUAAGCGUGUAGGCUGGUUUUCCAGGCAAAUCCGGAAAAUCAAGGCUGAGGCGUGAUGACGAGGCACUACGGUGCUGAAGCAACAAAUGCCCUGCUUCCAGGAAAAGCCUCUAAGCAUCAGGUAACAUCAAAUCGUACCCCAAACCGACACAGGUGGUCAGGUAGAGAAUACCAAGGCGCUUGAGAGAACUCGGGUGAAGGAACUAGGCAAAAUGGUGCCGUAACUUCGGGAGAAGGCACGCUGAUAUGUAGGUGAAGUCCCUCGCGGAUGGAGCUGAAAUCAGUCGAAGAUACCAGCUGGCUGCAACUGUUUAUUAAAAACACAGCACUGUGCAAACACGAAAGUGGACGUAUACGGUGUGACGCCUGCCCGGUGCCGGAAGGUUAAUUGAUGGGGUCAGCGCAAGCGAAGCUCUUGAUCGAAGCCCCGGUAAACGGCGGCCGUAACUAUAACGGUCCUAAGGUAGCGAAAUUCCUUGUCGGGUAAGUUCCGACCUGCACGAAUGGCGUAAUGAUGGCCAGGCUGUCUCCACCCGAGACUCAGUGAAAUUGAACUCGCUGUGAAGAUGCAGUGUACCCGCGGCAAGACGGAAAGACCCCGUGAACCUUUACUAUAGCUUGACACUGAACAUUGAGCCUUGAUGUGUAGGAUAGGUGGGAGGCUUUGAAGUGUGGACGCCAGUCUGCAUGGAGCCGACCUUGAAAUACCACCCUUUAAUGUUUGAUGUUCUAACGUUGACCCGUAAUCCGGGUUGCGGACAGUGUCUGGUGGGUAGUUUGACUGGGGCGGUCUCCUCCUAAAGAGUAACGGAGGAGCACGAAGGUUGGCUAAUCCUGGUCGGACAUCAGGAGGUUAGUGCAAUGGCAUAAGCCAGCUUGACUGCGAGCGUGACGGCGCGAGCAGGUGCGAAAGCAGGUCAUAGUGAUCCGGUGGUUCUGAAUGGAAGGGCCAUCGCUCAACGGAUAAAAGGUACUCCGGGGAUAACAGGCUGAUACCGCCCAAGAGUUCAUAUCGACGGCGGUGUUUGGCACCUCGAUGUCGGCUCAUCACAUCCUGGGGCUGAAGUAGGUCCCAAGGGUAUGGCUGUUCGCCAUUUAAAGUGGUACGCGAGCUGGGUUUAGAACGUCGUGAGACAGUUCGGUCCCUAUCUGCCGUGGGCGCUGGAGAACUGAGGGGGCUGCUCCUAGUACGAGAGGACCGGAGUGGACGCAUCACUGGUGUUCGGGUUGUCAUGCCAAUGGCACUGCCCGGUAGCUAAAUGCGGAAGAGAUAAGUGCUGAAAGCAUCUAAGCACGAAACUUGCCCCGAGAUGAGUUCUCCCUGACUCCUUGAGAGUCCUGAAGGAACGUUGAAGACGACGACGUUGAUAGGCCGGGUGUGUAAGCGCAGCGAUGCGUUGAGCUAACCGGUACUAAUGAACCGUGAGGCUUAACCUU